AGCUUACUGGACAGACGAUGAAGAAAUCUACGUUUCACGAGGAUUUCACAUCAGCGCAUCUCGUGCUCUUUCUUGUAGUAGUUAUUUUCUUAGAUUGACACUGUCCUUUGCACAGAAACUCUUUCCUCAGAACUUUGCUUCAUGUUACGUCACAAGAGGACUCACAAGUACAAAUUCAAAGUUUACCCAAAUGCUAAUAGCUCCCUCUGCAGAGUGGGCAGCACCUCCGUAUCCUUUCGAUAGAGCCAUCUACGGAGGACACUCUGGGGUCGAUCAACCAAUUUUUAUUUGUCGCACCACGAUCUCUAAUUUUCAACAUUCCGGAAUACUCCUGCCUCCCUAUUACGAUAUUUGUUAUUAUAAUGCUUAUACUUUAUCUUCAAACUCCACGCAGUUUGAAGUGUUAGUUGAGAAAGAAAUUUCCACUACAACAUCAGUACCAAUAAUUUAUCCCUCUUAGAUUAAAUCGUAUAGAAGCAGAUCUAUUGAUGCUUGAUUAGAUGUAAUGGGUCAAAUGACUUAAUCAGUUUUAAAAUAAAUAGAAAUUUUUAAUAAUUUA